rnacentral:rRNA from 1 species
GACGAACGCUGGCGGCGUGCUUAACACAUGCAAGUCGAACGAUGAAGCCGGAGCUUGCUCUGGUGAAUUAGUGGCGAACGGGUGAGUAACACGUGAGUAACCUGCCCUUGACUCUGGGAUAACUGCGGGAAACUGUAGCUAAUACCGGAUACGACCCUCGGAGGCAUCUCCUGGGGGUGGAAAGAAUUUCGGUCAAGGAUGGACUCGCGGCCUAUCAGCUAGUUGGUGAGGUAAAGGCUCACCAAGGCGACGACGGGUAGCCGGCCUGAGAGGGUGACCGGCCACACUGGGACUGAGACACGGCCCAGACUCCUCCGGGAGGCAGCAGUGGGGAAUAUUGCACAAUGGGCGCAAGCCUGAUGCAGCAACGCCGCGUGAGGGAUGACGGCCUUCGGGUUGUAAACCUCUUUCAGCACCGACGAAGCGCAAGUGACGGUAGGUGCAGAAGAAGGACCGGCCAACUACGUGCCAGCCGCCGCGGUAA